rnacentral:tRNA from 1 species
GGAGAGAUGGCAGAGAUGGUCGAUUGCGUCUGAUUUGAAAUCAGAUGAACGUUCAAGCGUUCCGUGGGUUCGAAUCCGACUCUCUCCUUAUUAUACCUUAU